CUACAGCGUGCCGUCCUUUGAGAUCUUCCAGACGUGUGGAGUCUGACAUUUGGCAGCGAGACUCGGCGUGCUUGCGGCCAGUCAAAUGACUUCUGCUGGAAGGUGGAUGACAGAUGGUGAAUGGCAUAACCUUGCUCAUGCCCCGGUGUAGUUCCUCUGAUGGUACGUCGCACAGCUUGCCACUGAAAACCAAUCAGUCAGAACUGGAGAGCCCGGUGUGGCACAGAUGAGGAGCCGUGCAUCAGGAAAAUAACAAAAUUAAAAGUACACUUCCCCUUUUAAACCAGUUAUUUAUUUUUCUGGAGAGAAAGAGUGAGUGAGUGACUGAGU